rnacentral:lncRNA from 10 species
CUUUUCUUUCUCUUGAAUUUUCUCUUCUCCAACUUGUGCUUUAUCUUGCAAAAUGUCAAAUAAAUUAAGUGUAUGAACUUCCGGCAUGCGCCAGAAAAAGAGACAGACAAUAUACACCCACUUUUGUUCCUUUUCAUUUUAAAAGAACAUGAGAUGAUUACCUCUGAUAUAAAAACCCUUGGCUCCCCCAGGGAAAGACAUUUUUAACACAAGUUCAUGAAACAAAUAUAUCUGUCUUUUUCACCUUAAAAUACCACCAAUAAUCACAGUCUAUCAGAGAUUAUAAUUUGAGAUGAGAUUUGGGUGGGGACACAAAGCCAAACCAUGUCAUAUGGGUUGGAUUAAGGGGCUUUGAGAAAUACCAAAUAAAAUGCAAGUGGUUUGAUGCCAUCUUCCUUGUCCUCACC